ACUCCUACGGGAGGCAGCAGUGGGGAAUAUUGCGCAAUGGACGAAAGUCUGACGCAGCGACGCCGCGUGUGGGAGGAAGCCUUUCGGGUGUAAAACCACUGUCAGAGGGGAAGAACAGCGUCUUUUCGAACAGGACUGGCGUUUGACGGUACCCUCAGAGGAAGACGCCGGCUAACUCCGUGCCAGCAGCCGCGGUAAGACGGAGGGCGCAAGCGUUGUUCGGAAUUACUGGGCGUAAAGCGCGGGCAGGUGGUCCGUUAAGUCGUCUGUGAAAAUCCGGGGCUCAACCCGCGAAGUAGCAGGCGAUACUGGCGGGCUGGAGAUCGGUAGAGGCUAGCGGAAUUCCUGGUGUAGCGGUGGAAUGCGUAGAUAUCAGGAAGAACACCCGUGGCG
rnacentral:rRNA from 1 species